rnacentral:rRNA from 1 species
AUCAAAAUGGGCAGCGAUCUAACACACACGAGAAAAAGAAUGAGGCGUUACUACCACGGACCAGUCAUUAAGAAAACGAGAGCAAAGGUUCAGUUUGCAGACCUUCCCGAUGAUCUGCUGUCUACGAUUCUAUCAAAAUUGCCACUGAAGGAAGCUGCAAGAACCGUCAUUCUGUCAAGUAAAUGGAACGACGUGUGGAGAGUUUGCCCCAAACUGAGAUUUGAUGGCUUCACAGUGUGCAGUGACAGCGUGUUUGGGGGAGAACAGUACACUCAGAAAUUCAUUGACAAUGUUAAUGCAGUCAUGCAGAAGCAUCAGUGCAUGGUCGUUGAAGAGCUCGUGAUCAAAUUUGGGUUUGAC